rnacentral:rRNA from 1 species
UACGAAGGGGGCUAGCGUUGCUCGGAAUCACUGGGCGUAAAGGGUGCGUAGGCGGGUCUUUUAAGUCAGGGGUGAAAUCCUGGAGCUCAACUCCAGAACUGCCUUUGAUACUGAGGAUCUUGAGUCCGGGAGAGGUGAGUGGAACUGCGAGUGUAGAGGUGAAAUUCGUAGAUAUUCGCAAGAACACCAGUGGCGAAGGCGGCUCACUGGCCCGAUAACUGACGCUGAGGCACGAAAGCGUGGGGAGCAAACAGG